UUGCCCUUCAGGGCCUUGAGUCAUGUGUCUCUUUUUUAUCACACAGCCUAUUCUGUCCUUGACAUAAUACUCUCUUAAACAUCUCUUCCAGCUUUCUGUUCACUAAUGUAGAACUCAUUGUACAACUCUGAUAAAGAAAAACAGGUUCUUGAUGACAGCUGUGACACUUAAAAUGACUAUAUAGAAAUAUUCAGUCCACUCACUGAUUGGCUGGUAUGCUUUUGUAGGUCAUAGAGAGACAUUUGUUUUUUAAUUGAGACUGUUUCAUAAACAGUUAAAGACUCCCCACAGCAGCUUUAAAUAACAAUGAAGACGCAGGCACCGUCUGACAUUUAAAUGAAUCCUUCACUUGCACACAUUUCCUACCUGUUUACCAGUGUGCACACAGUCAUUUAAAAUGCACACACAUUAAUGCCUCCAUUUACUCAUGUGUACAUUAUGGUUUGCCAACUGAUAUUUAAAAUGAUGUUACACUAAUUAAACAACUAGAAGCACUGGCUGCAAAUUGGCUUCGACAUUUGCGUCAACAUCUGUUGUGUUCAUUAUUCGUGUGCAGUGCCGUUUCUCUGUUAGACUGAUUCAAAUAUUGAUUAAAUUAAGUAGCCAAGAAACUUUUAUUUUAUAACUCAGUAUCACAAACAGUGUCAAAUGGCUUUUAGAGUGUUUACAAAUCUAAUAUGACAGCCCACACAGUGACUGCCCAUAUCACCUGUAAUGAGCUCUACCAGGGUCGAGCCUGUUUUCCUGCGUCCAGACGGAAGCUUAAUCAUUAACAUAAUUCCAGACUGUGAGGCACACUUCAGUCUACAGAGAAGCUGCGUGUGUGUCCUCCCCACCACCUCCCUCCCUCUCCCCCCCAGCGGUGCAUCUCAGGGAACCAUUUUUGGCCCCUGUAGCAUUUUGGUGAGUAAUCGCGGGGCUUUGGAGCUCUCAGUCCUCCAUUUACAUGUCAAAACCUCCCUAGGCUUGGGAUGUAAGGGACCCAAUUUGGAAUGACAAAGCUCAGCCAGAGACAGCUGAUCCACAAAGGAGGCCUGGUUAAGUUCUUCCUCCCAGUCACCAGCUGCUCCACUGACCCAUAGUACCUCUAUUCAGCAAACACACACAGGAGAGAGAGGGGAAUGCUGCCACGCGCACUCGCGUGUAGCUGAGGAGAAACUGAGUGAUUCUUUAUUCUUCUGUAUAAUUUUGUUAUUUCCUUGUGUGCUUUUGUAAUGACAUGCAGCUGAUACAUUGUGGAUAGAAUUAGCCUUUAAAACUGCAAGAUCUCAGCCUGCAUAUAAAAUAAUACUUUUCCUUGUCUUUAGACCUUGAUUGUAAAUCUUCACAUCAUAAACCCUCCUCUGCUUCUGAGAAUGCUUGCUUUGUUUCCUUUAUUAUUAAACAACAAAGUGUCUUUAUUACAAAAGCAGGUCACACAAACAAACCCUUCCACAUUGAUGUCUUUGGGGUGUUGGUGACAUUACUUCUUCCUGAUGAUACCCAGUGCAUGCCGACUUUUCUGCCUUCAACUGCUCUGUUUAUUUAUGUCACAUAUUUAUUUUUCAGAGAAACAAAGCGCAGAAUGUCAGUUGAACUGUCUGUCAUUGAUUUUUUUAACACGUCCCAGCGUGCACAGCAUCUGUCACAUGGAACGCCGCUCUAUUUGUGUCUGCCUGUGACACAAAGUGGCUUAGGGAUUUGUCACCUCCCUCCUUGCAUUGUGCGCUGGAAUGACAGGAUACUGGCUGGAACUUGUAGGUCACACCCAACAUGUUUUUCUUGGAUCUGUGCUCCAACUCCAAAUGGAAACAUGUUGUUCCUAAACUCCCACACUCCAGCUUUCCACCUCAAACACCUGACCUCUGAGUACAGCAGGAGAAAAACCACAGGCCUGAGUUUUAAAGACAAAUGACAGGGAGAUAACUCCAGGAUCCGGCCCAGAUGGUCAGUCAUUAGAGUCUAGAAGUGGCCUCACAGACGGAGAGACAGUCAGAGUCAAUGCUGCUGCAGAUGCGUGGAGGGGCCGGGAGGGAGUGUAUGGGAGAAACCCAAUCCCCUCAUAUUGGGUGCCCAUUGCCCCCAGAGAGAAAGCAAGAAACAAGAGGCCCAGCUGUCCUUAACAAUAGACCUGCCCCUCUGCAGCCAGGACUGAAAAGGCUUCAUUCAGUCCCCUGGCUCUCCAAACCUUGCUUCCAGGGAGACUAGCCAGGACAUGCUCUCACUCAGGACAGACAUGUCAGUCUCUGUUGUGGACAUGUUUGUCAUGAUGUGUAUGUCUUUGUAGAUACCCAUGUCUGCAUGUGUGCAUAUGUUCUUCAGAAAUAAACAAUGGUGGGAUCUCA